GAUGAACGCUGGCGGCGUGCUUAACACAUGCAAGUCGAACGGAAAGGCCCAAGCUUGCUUGGGUACUCGAGUGGCGAACGGGUGAGUAACACGUGGGUGAUCUGCCCUGCACUUCGGGAUAAGCCUGGGAAACUGGGUCUAAUACCGGAUAGGACGAUGGUUUGGAUGCCAUUGUGGAAAGUUUUUUCGGUGUGGGAUGAGCUCGCAGCCUAUCAGCUUGUUGGUGGGGUAAUGGCCUACCAAGGCGUCGACGGGUAGCCGGCCUGAGAGGGUGUACGGCCACAUUGGGACUGAGAUACGGCCCAGACUCCUACGGGAGGCAGCAGUGGGGAAUAUUGCACAAUGGGCGCAAGCCUGAUGCAGCGACGCCGCGUGGGGGAUGACGGCCUUCGGGUUGUAAACUCCUUUCGCUAGGGACGAAGCGUUUUUGUGACGGUACCUGGAGAAGAAGCACCGGCUAACUACGUG
rnacentral:rRNA from 1 species